AUACGUAGGGGGCGAGCGUUGUCCGGAAUGAUUGGGCGUAAAGGGCGCGUAGGCGGCCCGGUAAGUCUGGAGUGAAAGUCCUGUUUUUAAGAUGGGAAUUGCUUUGGAUACUGUCGGGCUUGAGUGCAGGAGAGGUAAGUGGAAUUCCCAGUGUAGCGGUGAAAUGCGUAGAGAUUGGGAGGAACACCAGUGGCGAAGGCGACUUACUGGACUGUAACUGACGCUGAGGCGCGAAAGUGUGGGGAGCAAACAGGAUUAGAUACCCUGGUAGUCCACGCCGUAAACGACGAAUGCUAGGUGUAGGGGGUAUCGACCCCUUCUGUGCCGCAGUCAACACAAUAAGCAUUCCGCCUGGGGAGUACGGCCGCAAGGUUGAAACUCAAAUGAAUUGACGGGG
rnacentral:rRNA from 1 species